GCGGGGGGGAGAAAAGUCGGGGCCCCAAAGGGAAAGGUGCCAGGUAACGCUGGGGGGGUGUCACACCACACGCCCAGGGAAACAGAAGGAAAACCGCCGAUGGCCCGCGCAAGCGGGAUCAGGUAAGGGUGAAAGGGUGCGGUAAGAGCGCACCGCGCGGCUGGUAACAGUCCGCGGCACGGUAAACUCCACCCGGAGCAAGGCCAAAUAGGGGUUCAUAAGGUACGGCCCGUACUGAACCCGGGUCGGCUGCUUGAGCCAGUGAGCGAUUGCUGGCCUAGAUGAAUGACUGUCCACGACAGAACCCGGCUUAUUGGUCAGCUUCACCU
rnacentral:RNase_P_RNA from 1 species